rnacentral:rRNA from 1 species
UCUCCUGGAAACGGGUGGUAAUGCCGGAUGUUCCACAUGAGCGCAUGCGAGUGUGGGAAAGGCUUUUUGCGGCAUGGGAUGGGGUCGCGUCCUAUCAGCUUGUUGGUGGGGUAACGGCCUACCAAGGCGUUGACGGGUAGCCGGCCUGAGAGGGCGACCGGCCACAUUGGGACUGAGAUACGGCCCAGACUCCUACGGGAGGCAGCAGUGGGGAAUAUUGCACAAUGGGCGCAAGCCUGAUGCAGCGACGCCGCGUGCGGGAUGGAGGCCUUCGGGUUGUAAACCGCUUUUGUUCAAGGGCAAGGCACGGUUUCGGCCGUGUUGAGUGGAUUGUUCGAAUAAGCACCGGCUAACUACGUGCCAGCAGCCGCGGUAAUACGUAGGGUGCAAGCGUUAUCCGGAUUUAUUGGGCGUAAAGGGCUCGUAGCGGUUCGUCGCGUCCGGUGUGAAAGUCCAUCGCUUAACGGUGGAUCCGCGCCGGGUACGGGCGGGCUUGAGUGCGGUAGGGGAGACUGGAAUUCCCGGUGUAACGGUGGGAAUGUGUAGAUUAUUCGGGUAGACACCAA